UUGGCAUAUAAUGUAAAGGAAAAAUGAGGCACAGGGCAUGACAAGACAUAUUUUAUUAAUCAGAUAAACCAACUGCAACUAGUUUUGACAAUAGGAGGAAGACGUUUAGAGAAAUUAGCAAAGGAAUUAACUUUAAUUAAACUGCUUUUAUUUCCAUUUUAGAGUGGAAGAGAAAAAAAUAGAGACAACAGAAAUAUUGAAGCAACAAAAAGUGAUAUUGUAGUUGGCUACUGGUUGUUACUAACGAUUGACCCCUCUGUUUUUCAGUUGCAUUCGUAAAUGCCAGUACUUUUUCGUUAACCAAAAAUUAUACUCUGAGAGGUCAGCUCUAAUGCGGACAUCCCUCUUUACCGUGUAAGUUUCAUCUAACAUUGAUGUCAAUAAAUGAAGUCCGCUAUUUUGAACAAAUUCUUUAAGGCGACAAGGCGAGCAAUCAACAAGAAGAGCGGUCAACAAUCGUAAACCUUAUGCGACUUGCAAACUUCUUGAGUUGUUGUUAACAGGAUCAAGAACUGUUAGUACAAAUUUAAAACUGAUCAAAUCACGACAGUUACUAUUUGUUAGGCAUAUUCCCUCGAGCAGGUUCAAAGCCUGAAAGGAAGUAAAAGCGUUGCUACUCUAUUCGUAUAACAUAGAAUAGACAAUGGUAUACUACUAGGGAGUACUAAACAAUAUUAAAUCUUUUAUUAUUAAUUUCACUACAAUAAUAGUAAUAGUAUAAAAGUUAACAUUUGUAG